rnacentral:rRNA from 1 species
ACGCUGGCGGCGCGCCUAACACAUGCAAGUCGAACGAGCGAGAGAGAGCUUGCUUUCUCGAGCGAGUGGCGAACGGGUGAGUAACGCGUGAGGAACCUGCCUCAAAGAGGGGGACAACAGUUGGAAACGACUGCUAAUACCGCAUAAGCCCACGAGUCGGCAUCGACCAGAGGGAAAAGGAGUGAUCCGCUUUGAGAUGGCCUCGCGUCCGAUUAGCUAGUUGGUGAGGUAACGGCCCACCAAGGCGACGAUCGGUAGCCGGACUGAGAGGUUGAACGGCCACAUUGGGACUGAGACACGGCCCAGACUCCUACGGGAGGCAGCAGUGGGGAAUAUUGCACAAUGGGGGAAACCCUGAUGCAGCGACGCCGCGUGGAGGAAGAAGGUCUUCGGAUUGUAAACUCCUGUUGUUGGGGAAGAUAAUGACGGUACCCAACAAGGAAGUGA